rnacentral:rRNA from 1 species
AGAGUUUGAUCCUGGCUCAGGACGAACGCUGGCGGCGUGCCUAAUACAUGCAAGUCGAGCGGAUCGAUGGGAGCUUGCUCCCUGAGAUCAGCGGCGGACGGGUGAGUAACACGUGGGUAACCUGCCUGUAAGACUGGGAUAACUCCGGGAAACCGGGGCUAAUACCGGAUAACUCAGUUCCUCGCAUGAGGAACGGUUGAAAGGUGGCUUUUCGCUACCACUUACAGAUGGACCCGCGGCGCAUUAGCUAGUUGGUGAGGUAACGGCUCACCAAGGCGACGAUGCGUAGCCGACCUGAGAGGGUGAUCGGCCACACUGGGACUGAGACACGGCCCAGACUCCUACGGGAGGCAGCAGUAGGGAAUCUUCCGCAAUGGACGAAAGUCUGACGGAGCAACGCCGCGUGAGUGAAGAAGGUUUUCGGAUCGUAAAACUCUGUUGUUAGGGAAGAACAAGUGCCGUUCGAAUAGGGCGGCACCUUGACGGUACCUAACCAGAAAGCCACGGCUAACUACGUGCCAGCAGCCGCGGUAACACGUAGGUGGCAAGCGUUGUCCGGAAUUAUUGGGCGUAAAGCGCGCGCAGGUGGUUUCUUAAGUCUGAUGUGAAAGCCCACGGCUCAACCGUGGAGGGUCAUUGGAAACUGGGGAACUUGAGUGCAGAAGAAAGUGAAUUCCAAGUGUAGCGUUGAAAUGCGUAAGAAGAUUGGAGGAACACCAGUUGCGAAAGCGACUUUCUGGUCUGUAACUGACACUGAGGCGCGAAAGCGUUGGGAGCAAACAGGAUUAGAUACCCUGGUAGUCCACGCCGUAAACGAUGAGUGCUAAGUGUUAGAGGGUUUCCGCCCUUUAGUGCUGCAGCUAACGCAUUAAGCACUCCGCCUGGGGAGUACGGUCGCAAGACUGAAACUCAAAGGAAUUGACGGGGGCCCGCACAAGCGGUGGAGCAUGUGGUUUAAAUUCGAAGCAACGCGAAGAACCUUACCAGGUCUUGACAUCCUCUGACAACCCUAGAGAUAGGGCUUUCCCCUUCGGGGGACAGAGUGACAGGUGGUGCAUGGUUGUCGUCAGCUCGUGUCGUGAGAUGUUGGGUUAAGUCCCGCAACGAGCGCAACCCUUGAUCUUAGUUGCCAGCAUUCAGUUGGGCACUCUAAGAUGACUGCCGGUGACAAACCGGAGGAAGGUGGGGAUGACGUCAAAUCAUCAUGCCCCUUAUGACCUGGGCUACACACGUGCUACAAUGGACGGUACAAAGGGCAGCGAGACCGCGAGGUUUAGCCAAUCCCAUAAAACCGUUCUCAGUUCGGAUUGCAGGCUGCAACUCGCCUGCAUGAAGCUGGAAUCGCUAGUAAUCGCGGAUCAGCAUGCCGCGGUGAAUACGUUCCCGGGCCUUGUACACACCGCCCGUCACACCACGAGAGUUUGUAACACCCGAAGUCGGUGAGGUAACCUUUUGGAGCCAGCCGCCUAAGGUGGGACAGAUGAUUGGGGUGAAGUCGUAACAAGGUAGCCGU